rnacentral:misc_RNA from 1 species
GCCAAAGCACGCCAGUGACACUCAUACUAGUUCAGUGGCCAACACUACUCAGAACCCUAUCCAAGAGAAAUCAUGUCAGAAUCAGAAUUCCCUUGAAAGUCAUGCUGCUUCAACUUCAACUGAACUUGAUGGUGUAGCUUCUGAAGAAGCAGAAAUUGAUCUUUCUGUAGGAAAUGAGUGUGCCACUGCGAUUUGUAAGAACUCAUGUAAUGUUUU